UAUAAAUAUCUCUAGAUGAAGCAUGAAAUUUUAAAUAUAAGUUAUACAAGCUAAUUCUAUCUGAAACAUACAAAUGAGAAAAAAUAUCGUUAAGGUUUUCAAAAUUGUUUAUGUUAUGAUUAUUUUUAUUUGUCUCCUUCUUUAUGCAAAUGAAGGUUACGUUACAGAUGUUCGAUGUGGAAGACGUCUAGAUUGUCCUAAAACUUUGUGUGAUCAUGGUUUUAAACGAAAAUGUAAUGGAGCAGGUUUUUGUACAUGUGUUUCAAGAUAUCAUGGUUCCAUCCAAUAAUUAAAUUUUUUAUUUAAUUUUAUAUAAUUUUUUCAAACUUGUAGUUACUACUUUGCACAUUAAAAUGAUACAAAUAGAAUGAAAUAAAAUAUAAAUGACUAAUAGAA